UACGUAGGGUCCGAGCGUUGUCCGGAAUUAUUGGGCGUAAAGGGCUCGUAGGCGGUUUGUCGCGUCGGGAGUGAAAACACGGGGCUUAACCCCGUGCCUGCUUCCGAUACGGGCAGACUAGAGGUAUGCAGGGGAGAACGGAAUUCCUGGUGUAGCGGUGAAAUGCGCAGAUAUCAGGAGGAACACCAGUGGCGAAGGCGGUUCUCUGGGCAUUACCUGACGCUGAGGAGCGAAAGUGUGGGGAGCGAACAGG
rnacentral:rRNA from 1 species